rnacentral:ncRNA from 1 species
UUUGAGGCGAUUUGUAACCGGAUUGUGGGCCUCGUUAAAUAUGCCGCUAAAGAGGUCAGGGCGAU